rnacentral:rRNA from 1 species
AACGAACGCUGGCGGCAGGCCUCAAACAUGCAAGUCUAGGGGGUGUAGUAAUACAUCACCGGCGGACGGGUGCGUAACGCGUGGGAAUGUACCUAUUGGUUCGGAACAACUGAGGGAAACUUCAGCUAAUACCGAAUGUGCCCGUAAGGGGAAAGAUUUAUCGCCAAUGGAUCAGCCCGCGUAGGAUUAGCUAGUUGGUGAGGUAAUGGCUCACCAAGGCUCCGAUCCUUAGCUGUUCUGAGAGGAAGAUCAGCCACACUGGGACUGAGACACGGCCCAGACUCCUACGGGAGGCAGCAGUUGGGAAUCUUGGACAAUGGGGGAAACCCUGAUCCAGCCAUGCCGCGUGAGUGAUGAAGGCCUUCGGGUUGUAAAACUCUUUCGUACGGGGACGAGUAAUGACGGUACCCGUAGAAGAAGCUCCGGCUAACUUCGUGCCAGCAGCCGCGGUAAU